GAAAAAGCUUCAUCUCCAACUGAUUCCUUCGCGAUUUCGCAAAUUCCCUCCAUCCUUACGGCUUGGAGUUUCUUCCAGCUUCUUCUCUUCUCCGUUGCGCCUCUCCCGGCCGUCGAUUGCUUCAACUUCAACGGCACAAAGAACAGAAUUCAAGAAUGGAAAGUAUGUUGGUGAAAGUGGCAAUAGGCUUAAGGAGUUGCUCUCUAAAUUCAAUCCCAUAAAAUUCCACUCUUUAUGGAAUUUCAGGGGCCAUACAGGAAAUGUGGUUGUGAACUAUUUUUAUGCUGAUCACUUUGGUAAGAUGAAUUGGGUUGAAAAAAGGAAUUCUAUUCCAGGAAUAUAUGGAUGAGCGGCUCGUGCUGAUGACUAUUAUUCAGGAGGUCCUAUUGGGGAUCAUCUACGAAAACAUGGAUAUUUGAAAACUGUUGAUGAUAUAUAACUAAUGAGGAGUCUAAUAAAAUGAGCAAACUUAUUCAAGAUUUAGCAACUCUGAUUGCAGUCAAGAAGAAGCACAUUGAGGAGCUUGAGGACAAUUACACUCUGGAAUUUUGUGUUCUUCCUUAGAAAUUCAAAGAAUGCAGCAACUCGCCCGAGAUCGUUCUUGUAGAAUUUUUUUUAGAAUGAGAACUUAAGGACUGAGCUGGAUUCUAAGAGAAGAGAACAUGCAUUCAGAUCCAAGCAACUGAACACAUUAGCAGCUCAAAGUGAGUCUGAGAUAAGGAAACUUGAAGAUGAAAAGAAGGAGGUUGUACAGGAAGAUGAUGAGAAAUUGGUCGCUUUAAGAUGCGAGCUGGGCGAUGAGGUCUAUAGGGCUGUGAAAUCGGCUUUGUUGGAGAUUAAUGAGCAUAAUCCAAGCGGCAGAUACGUCAUCAAUGAACUCUGAAGCUACAGAGAGGGACGGAGAGCAACUCUGAAAGAGGCUAUCGAGUUUGUGAUGAAGUAUUUGACGUCGCUGAAGAGGAAGCGAUGACUGCUUUUCUAAGUUGAUUAGGGUCCUGUCGUUUAUGUUUGCUGUCAACAUUUUGUAAGAUGGAAGGUUUGGCUGCCGCUCAUGUUUUGGAUUCAUUUUGCAUGUUUCAAGAAUCACUUCAAUGUAAUUUUUUGGUUGCCCAA